UCUUUCUCUCUGCAUCUUCAGUUUCUCUAAGUCACAGACUCAUUGUCACCAUCCUCUCUGUCGCUCAGUAUCCUUCUCCUUACAGAUAAUGGAGGUCGUGAGACAACAACAGAGGAGGAGCAUCCCAUCUACUCUAUUCUCUCUCUCUCUGAACCGUGAUGCCUCCUCUCUGUCCUGUGACGAAGUGACGCCUCCUCUCUGUUCUGGUAUUCAUUCUUCUCUUUUACUCUCUUUGUUGUUUACUUGAUUAUUUUUUUUGGUUUGUAAGAAGGUUUCAGAGAAAGACUAGAGCAAUAGCGUAAGCUUGGAGAAUCAGAGCAAGGUGGGAGAAGACAGAGCAACGGCGUCGGAGAAGACCGAGCAGCGGCGUCGGGGAAGACAGAGCAAGGGCGGCGUUGGGGUAGACAGAGAUGGUCGCGAGCAGAGAUGGUGGUGCGGCGGGUGAGGACUGGAAGAUGAAGAAGGCAACAAAGUUCAUGGCUUGAUAAGACGAUGAAGAUCAUGGAAGAACACGACAACGAAGGUGGUGGUGCGACGGGUGAGGGUUGGAAGAUGAAGAAACGGCAAAGGUGGUGGUGUUGGGGUGGCGC
rnacentral:lncRNA from 1 species